ensembl:lncRNA
CUAAAGUGAAAGUUGCUUAUGCUGUCAAUGGAGUGACAGAAACCUCUUGACUUUCAUUUAAAAUAUCUUCAAUUGUAUUCUGAGAAUGAACAAAAGUUUUAGGGGAUUGGAACAACAUGAGGUGCACACGGCUGUGAGUGUGGUGUCGUGACUACAUUCAUCUUCAUAAAAAGACUGUGGGCUGAUGUGUUACUUCCUAAUUCAUCCAUUGUGUGAGUCUCGUCUCUUCUCUCACUCUCGCUGUAAUGGAGUUGUUCAUCUUCAUAGUGUUUCAGCUCCUGAUGGAGGUUCAGUCUUACAAUUCACUUCCGAAACCCUUCAUCAGUGUUAGUGGAGAUGAUGUCCAGCUCUUCAUAUCAUGUGAAAUACCACUUUCAGUCAGAGCUGAUUUCAACUGUAGUCUCUACACUGAGGAUGAUGUUCUUCUGUAUCAACGUGUCUCUCAGUGGAGUCAGUCUGCAAAGAAUCAUUGUAUGUUUUAUGUAAGUCGUAGUGAACUCUUGACACGAUCAGUGAACAGUAGACAGCUGAUCUGUGUUUAUUCACGCAAGACUGAACCUGAGAUCAGAUCACCACACAGUGACACAUACACCUUCAGAGACACAAGCACCGUUAGAGACACAAGCAUGGUCAGAGCUUCAACACCAACCACCACUAAACAUACGACUACAACAACAGCCAUGAAAACCUUAGAUGUCCAAUCCAAGACAAGCCUGCCAACCAGCAAAGCACAGAAAACCCAGACUUCAACACCAACCACCACUAAACAUACGACUACAACAACAGCCAUGAAAACCUUAGGUGUCCAAUCCAAGACAAGCCCGCCAACCAGAAAAGCAAAGAAAACCCAGACAUUAAAUGUAAUGUCCACUUCUGAAACAACAACAUACAGUGGAACUGUAGACUUUCAAUCUAAAUCAAACCUGCCAACCAACACAGCAACGGAAACCAUGGAACUAUGGUAUAUAGUGCUGGGUUCUACUGGCGUUGCUGUAAUUUUGUCUGGACUCAUCUGUUUCUGUCGGUUUGCAAGUAAAAAAAGAAGAAAACUAAACAAAACAAGAUCAAACAAACCUGAUGUGACCAGUCAAGAGAUUGGUAUGAGUUGUUCUGGACCUGCAGAGACAUACUGUCUGAUCACGUCUGUACCAUCCACAUCUCAGCCCAUAUCUGAAGGCCUCGAACAGGACAGCACAGCAGAUCCCAAAGACAGUUACUCUUUCAUUACUUCUGUCAAUUCAAUUUACCAUUCCCCAGAUGUUUUGGUUAAUAAACAACAGAAACAGGGAAAUACAGAGGAAAAUGAGAAUGUUUAUCACCUGUACUGCACAAUCCCUGACAAACCAGUUAACUCAAACACAGAAGAUCACGUGUACAGUUUGGUGAAGAUGCACUGAUGAAUCUCUGAUUUCAUCAUGUACAGCCAUUAAAGUAUCUUUACUUGCACACAAAUAGGUGUUUAUUUACAUUAUUCAGUGUUUGGUAUGAACUAUACUGUGACCUCAGUGAAUAUCCAGAGCAUCUUCUCUGGCAAGCCUCACUAGAGCAAUACUUCAUUGUAAGAAGAGCUUGGGCAUUCAAUAAGAGCUGAACUAAAAAUCUAACGAUAAUGGAAUUUGAACCAUAUGAAGAUUUGAACUAAAUAUUUUUUUCUUCUUAGUAUUCUGUAUUACUAAAAAAAAAAAAAAAUCUAUGUUUAGAUUAGUUUUUAUCUUUAGAUUAGUUUUUAACUUCUCCUUCCACAAAACCCAGCUGAUUACAUCAGCGAUGACAGAGAAAAUGACUUGCAUCCUGUUUUUAGUGAAUCAUUUUAGCUUUAAAAAAAUAGGCUUUUUUAUAUUACCUUAUUUUUUCUGAGAACUGUGAUCCUUCCCUCACGCUGCUGUGCAGGUCAAAUGGGCAUCUGAUGUUCCAAGCAAAAGACACAAGCACUUACUGACACCACUGAUGAUAUCACUGAGUUUCCACACAUUUACAAUGUUUUUAAUUUUUUUUAUUUUUACAUUUUUUUAUUUUGAUGUUUCAGUAAUUUUGAAUGGAUCCAUAUAGUAUAUACAGUCAGGUCAAGGCUGCUGGUAUAGUGGUUUUUGUCAUCUCCAUGUUGUUCUGUUUUGUAUGACAUGUUGACUUGUGUUUAUUUGAAUAUUAAAAAAAAGCUUUAAGCAUUGUUCCCUUCACAAGUAUCUGCUGCAUUGUUUACAUACAUUGUGAAUCAUCACCAUUCUUCUUCUUCUUUUUUUUACAUUUUUUUUUACAGUUGAAAAUAAUGUUCUGGAAUAUUUUCAUGAGUGGUUUGGUUUGCACAGUAGUCCUAAAUUUAUAUAGACUCCUUUUAUCAUUUUGAUAUCUGGACUCUGGUCUCCAAGUGUCCUGUUUCGAUUAUAUAUAUAUUUUUUUAAUCAAGCUGAAACAUAUUUAAUUCUACGAAUUUAAAUAUUUAGCUUUAAAUAUGCUUAAAGCCUGUAAAAGAUUUAUUUCAAAUAUUCUUAUUCAUGCUCAGAGAUAUACACGUUGCAUGUUAAUGUUACAUUGCACAUGACUGUGAGUGUGGUCUAAUUACCUGUUCUUUGAUCUACAUAAAACUGCUCAAUGCCUUAAAUGGUUUCCUGUGGUCUGAUCUGCCACUUCCUAAUUCACACAAUUGUUUGAGUUUCAUUCUGUCUCUUUCACACUCGCUGUAAUGGAGUUCUUCAUUUUCACAGUUUUUC